rnacentral:rRNA from 1 species
AGGAUGAACGCUGGCGGCGUGCCUAACACAUGCAAGUCGAACGUCCUGUCUCGCAAGAGGCAGGGAGUGGCGGACGGGUGAGUACCACGUGGGUCAUCUACCGUGAGGUGAGGAAUACCGGCGAGAAAUCGCCGACAAGACCGCAUAGGCUCGAUGCAAGUCGAGCAAAGCUCUUUCUAGAGAGGGAGCGCCACACGAGGAGCCUGCGCCCGAUUAGCUAGCUGGUGGAGUAACGGUUCACCAGGGCGACGAUCGGUAGCUGGUCUGAGAGGACGAUCAGCCACACUGGGAUUGAGAACGGCCCAGACUCCUACGGGGGGCAGCAGUGAGGAAUUUCGUCAAUGGGGGCAACCCUGAACGAGCAACGCCGCGUGCAGGAAGAAGGUUUCGGAUCGUAAACUGUCUUUCGUCGGGAAGAGAACGGACGGUACCCGAGGAAUCGACGCCCCGGACUAACUCGCGCCAGCAGCCGCGGU